rnacentral:rRNA from 1 species
GAUGAACGCUGGCGGCGUGCUUAACACAUGCAAGUCGAACGAUGAAAGCGGGAGCUUGCUCCUGCUGGAUUAGUGGCGAACGGGUGAGUAACACGUGAGCAAUCUGCCCCGAACUCUGGGAUAAGCGUUGGAAACGACGUCUAAUACCGGAUACGACGCGCGAAGGCAUCUUCUGCGCGUGGAAAGAAUUUCGGUUCGGGAUGAGCUCGCGGCCUAUCAGCUAGUUGGUGAGGUAACGGCUCACCAAGGCGACGACGGGUAGCCGGCCUGAGAGGGUGACCGGCCACACUGGGACUGAGACACGGCCCAGACUCCUACGGGAGGCAGCAGUGGGGAAUAUUGCACAAUGGGCGAAAGCCUGAUGCAGCAACGCCGCGUGAGGGACGACGGCCUUCGGGUUGUAAACCUCUUUUAGUAGGGAAGAAGCGAAAGUGACGGUACCUGCAGAAAAAGCACCGGCUAACUACGUGCCAGCCGCCGCAGUAA